AUUAUGAAAUUCAAACUGGAUUGAAAUUGUUCUUGGCAAUGAAGUGGAAAAGACACUUGUGUCAAACAGAUGCUGUACUAAAUAACUAAAUACCCCGUAGUCGCUUCUGGAUUUGUAUCGUUUGUAUGCAUCGAUUUGUGCAACUUCCAUUGGAUAUCUAAUCCACGAUCUUUGCAGCCUUCAUCUUCAUCCUCUUCUGAAUUGGUCUUGGGGCCUUUUUCUUCUCAUCUUUGGUAGGCCCGGCCUUGUUUUCUGGCCCUCCUCUCAUUGGCCGCAAAAACUGAAGGCAAGAGAGAGAUGGAGAGGGAGUUAGUGUGUUACCAGAGGGAGCCUUUCUGAUCACCUCACUUGGCCCUGGUCUUCAAGCGCCCCAACGCAGUGAGGGUGAGAGGACCUUGGCCACUUUGGCUUCUGCUGAGUUACUACUUACUUUGGCCUGUGUGACCAGGCACCCAAUCAAUAGAAAGUUGUCGCCCUUCGGCCUUAUUCCCCUCCUCCUCCUACUCCGCUGAGUGAGCCUCUUCGUUGUGCUACCAAGCAAAGGCCACCAAUUCUGUGGCGAAGGGAAGAAUGAGAGAGAAAGCAAGUCCUUUCGUUAUUGUGCGGCUGCUAGUGUUGGUUGAUCUAGUGAGUCGCGUGUGGUGGCAGUGAGAUCAGCAUUUCUGAGGGGAGGUUUUACACGAAAAUUCCAGAGGCAUGGACCCCGGGGGCUAUGGGGGUGCCUUUGGCGGGUCCAAGGCCGGGGGUCAGCAAGAUCCAUUAACUUUCCUCAAGAAACCGAAUGUCGUGAUGCGCCUGAGCGCCUUGAUAUUUGCCACGGUGGUGUUUGGUUCGAUCUCUUCCCAAGGAUGGACCUACGACGACACCCUCCACAAGGAUGUGUGCAUCAUGAACAACCAGUCGGCCACGUGUCACUUCUCGACCUUCGUGGGCGUGGUCGGAUUCGUGGCCUCCAUUGCCUUCUUAGUUGGGGAGUGGUUCUUCGAGCAAAUGUCUUCCAUCAAGACCAGGAAGCAUUUCGUCAUCGCCGACAUGGUCUUCUCCAGCCUUUGGGCCUUCUUCUACCUCGUGGCUUGCUUGAUCAUGUCGGUGGCGUGGAGCAAGUCCGAUGAGAAGUACGAUUAUGGGAGCACCAACAUUCUUGGUGCCAUUUUCUUCGCCCUUCUCUCCGUGUUUUCUUGGGGAGGCGGCGCUUUCUUUGCCUAUCAGCGGUUCAAGGCCGGUUCGGACGGAGCCUUUGCCGAGGGUAUUGAUGAUGAAGAAGGUGAGGCGCCGGACGGAGCCUACCAAGGCUAUGGCACCGAGGAGGGUCAAUACAGCGAGCCGCCUUUCUCAGGCGGGGGUCAAACAGGUAUGGAUCAUGAACGGUUCUAACGAGGUUAGCAAUCCUGUUCCUUCUUGUCCUCGUCAUCCUCAUCCAUCCAAGGUGUGAUCAAUGAGAACUAAUGAGAGCAUUCCGAAGCAAAACGUCAUCUUAGGAAUGAACUACCAACAACAAGUUCAGUACUAGACAACGCUCCAUUCAUCCGCCCGGAGGGAAAUCCAAUCUCCUUUGACCUUAUCCAUGUCCUGCCAAAAACCCAUUGGCCUGCCUAUGUGCGUUGUAGCAAUUCUGUUCUCUUGCACGUGUUCUCCAUGUUCUAAAAAGCAGUUUGAUGUGCAACAAAAAUUACUGCAUGAAGAGUUUGUCUAGUCCAUAUGAACGAUCGAACGAAUGAACGGCCUCUCCAUGACCUUCGACAAGCCAAAAGUGAAGUUGUGAAGAAUCUUUCAAAUCCCAUCUACACGUCAUCAGCAUCGAUAAGACCAUCCAUCACAAGUCAAAAGAAAAGUCUCAAGAUUCAAAAGGUUCAGCAUUAUUCUUGUUAUCACACGUGGGGUUCUUCUUGGCUCGGCUUUUCCCGUGUCGUCCGGAUUUGGUGACCCUGACCUCGUCGUUUGUCAACUAGUUAGUUAGUCAGUGUCAGGUUAUAUCAGUCUUCAUAUGAUUCUUAAAAUUUGACUCAUUGAUUCCAUUGAUAUGUGCAUUGUUAACUCUGAAACCAGUAAAGAUAAAAAUGUUGGCUCCUAGUUGGCUCCUUUGCCCAUUGAAUUCUAUCGGGAAAUCCUCUUUGUUGUGGAGCCAACGCCCUGUACAUAAAAGCAAAAAACAUAAUAAUUCCAUAAAUACGCGUUCAGUUAAUAUUGUUACUACAAAAAGUGGAUUUUUACAAUCCCAUUACAUUGAGGCAAAUGUUAAAGUAUUUAUAGUUUGAGACACAAUGCAAAGACACUUCAGAUUGACAUGAAACCAAUGAAACCAAGAUUGAAAAAUUCAUAGAGAUCCGUAAGAUCCAUCCCAACUGCAUCUUCUCUUUUGGGUCCGAUGAAUACAGCCAUGUAAUUGACUAUUACUGUUAAGAACCAUUUCCACUGUUUUCAUUGUGAGUAAGCUUUGACGUAUGGAUCCAAAUUCUGGAGGGAAUGAUACGACAAUUCGCUUUUGGAGACUUUCUUGGAACACUACUAGUUAAAUACUGCUCGCCCUUCCUGCCCUUCCCAACCGAUUAAUAUUCACCUUGUUGUUUUCCAUUGUUAAAUCUCCCGCUCUUUUCGAACUUGCUAGUUAUUGAUCGUACGUAAACGAACCUCGUGUUUGUCGUUCAGUUUGAUCUUUGAUGAUAGUUCCAAGAACAUUCUCAACAAGUCACCAUUUUGCCAGCUCCAUUCUUUAUUCUUGGACCCUUCGUUUUUUCCCCAAUCUUAUCAACAACAAUAGGUUCUCGCGGGAUGUCUGCGUCUUUUCGAGGUUGAAGAACUUUAUGAUUAUUAAACUUUCGAAGGAACUUAAGAACAGCAUCAUCAUGAUUAUUAGUGAUACCAAAUUGUUAACAAUAUCCCUUGAUUUUAUGAAUGAUGGCUAAUUCCGCUUUUUUCUAAAAAAAAAUUUGUGAACCAAAAUUUUGAAAAGGUUGAAUUGUUUAUCAUGAAAUAAAUGUUCUCCCUUGAAAAAGA